rnacentral:rRNA from 1 species
UUCUAGAGGAACGCUAAUACCGCAUACGUCCUACUGGAGAAAGUCGGGGAUCUUCGGACCUCACGCUAUCAGAUGAGCCUAGGUCCCAUUAGCUAGUUGUUGAGGUAAAGGCUCACCAAGGCGACGAUCCGUAACUGGUCUGAGUGGAUGAUCAGUCACACUGGUACUGAGACACGGUCCACACUCCUACGGGAGGCAGCAGUGGGGAACAUUGGACAAUGGGCGAAAGUCUGAUCCAGCCAUGCCGCGUGUGUGAAGAAGGUCUUCGGAUUGUAAAGCACUUUAAGUUGGGAGGAAGGGCAGUAAGUUAAUACCUUGCUGUUUUGACGUUACCGACUGAAUAAGCACCGGCUAACUUCGUGCCAGCAGCCGGGGUAAUACGAAGGGUGCAAGCGUUAAUCGGAUUUACUGGGCGUAAAGCGCGCGUAGGUGGUUCGUGUAAGUUGGAUGUGAAAGCCCCGGGCGUCAACCUGGGAACUGCAUCCAAAACUGGCGAGCUAGAGUAUGGCAGAGGGUGGUGGAAUUUCCUGUGUGGCGGUGAAAUGCGUAGAUAUAGGCAGGAACACCAGUGGCGAAGGCGUCCAGCUGGGGUAAUACUGACACUGAGGUGCGAAAGCGUGGGGAGCAAACAGGCUUAGAUACCCUGGUAGUUCACGCCGUAAACGAUGUCGACUAGCCGUUGGGAUCCUUGAGAUUUUAGUGGCGCAGGUAACGCAUUAAGUUGACCGCCUGGGGAGUACGGCCGCAAGGCUAAAACUCAAAUGAAUUGACGGGGGCCCGCACAAGCGGUGGAGCAUGUGGUUUAAUUUGAAGCAACGCGAAGAACCUUACCAGGCCUUGACAUGCAGAGAACUUUCCAGAGAUGGAUUGGUGCCUUUGGGAAAUUUGACACACGUGGUGCAUGGCUGUUGUCAGCUUGUCUUGUGAGAUGUUGGGUUAAGUCCCGUAACGAGCGCAACCCUUGUCCUUAGUUACCAGCACGUUAAGGUGGGCACUUUAAGGAGACUGCCGGUGACAAACCGGAGGAAGGUGGGGAUGACGUCAAGUCAUCAUGGCCCUUACGGCCUGGGGUACACACGUGGUACAAUGGUCGGUACAAAGGGUUGCCAAGCCGCGAGGUGGAGCUACUCCCAUAGAACCGAUUGUAGUCCG